rnacentral:rRNA from 2 species
ACAGUGGAACUCCAUGUGUAGCGGUGAAAUGCGUAGAUAUAUGGAAGAACACCAGUGGCGAAGGCGGCUGUCUGGUCUGUAACUGACGCUGAGGCUCGAAAGCAUGGGUAGCGAACAGGAUUAGAUACCCUGGUAGUCCAUGCCGUAAACGAUGAAUGCUAGGUGUUGGAGGGUUUCCGCCCUUCAGUGCCGCAGCUAACGCAUUAAGCAUUCCGCCUGGGGAGUACGACCGCAAGGUUGAAACUCAAAGGAAUUGACGGGGGCCCGCACAAGCGGUGGAGCAUGUGGUUUAAUUCGAAGCAACGCGAAGAACCUUACCAGGUCUUGACAUCUUUUGAUCACCUGAGAGAUCAGGUUUCCCCUUCGGGGGCAAAAUGACAGGUGGUGCAUGGUUGUCGUCAGCUCGUGUCGUGAGAUGUUGGGUUAAGUCCCGCAACGAGCGCAACCCUUAUGACUAGUUGCCAGCAUUUAGUUGGGCACUCUAGUAAGACUGCCGGUGACAAACCGGAGGAAGGUGGGGAUGACGUCAAAUCAUCAUGCCCCUUAUGACCUGGGCUACACACGUGCUACAAUGGAUGGUACAACGAGUUGCGAGACCGCGAGGUCAAGCUAAUCUCUUAAAGCCAUUCUCAGUUCGGACUGUAGGCUGCAACUCGCCUACACGAAGUCGGAAUCGCUAGUAAUCGCGGAU